rnacentral:rRNA from 1 species
UACAGAGGUCCCGAGCGUUGUUCGGAUUCACUGGGCGUAAAGGGUGCGUAGGUGGUGAGGUAAGUCGGAUGUGAAAUCUCCGAGCUCAACUCGGAAAUGGCAUUGGAAACUACCUUGCUUGAGGGUUGGAGGGGGGACUGGAAUACUUGGUGUAGCAGUGAAAUGCGUAGAUAUCAAGUGGAACACCAGUGGCGAAGGCGAGUCCCUGGACAACUCCUGACACUGAGGCACGAAAGCUGGGGGAGCAAACCGG